AGUGGGGAGUUGUUGCUGGUUCGCCUGGGGCGUAAAACCCACCUUCCGAUAGCUGUUUAGCAUUUACAUUAUUGAUAUGGUGUCUUAUCCUGCAUAUGCAUGUGACAGUGGGGAGUUGUUGUUAGUUCGCCUGGGGCGUAAAACCUACCUCCCGACAGCUGUCUAGUGAUUAUUUACAUAUUGGUGUGGUGUCAUAUUCGAUAUAUGCAUAUGGCAGUAGGGAGUUGUUGCUGGUUUGCCUGGGGCGUAAAACCCACCUCCCGAUAGCUGUCUUGUUGAUGAUUCAGCCUAUUGACACCUGAUUUAUAUGAUUCAGUACUAUGACCUGUUGAGCAUAUUCAUGAGUAGCAUAUAUGUUUACUUGAUUAUUCCAUAUAUGCUUCAGAUGAGUUGAUAUUGAUUGUGGUGGUAUUGAUGACUUACU
rnacentral:lncRNA from 1 species